rnacentral:rRNA from 1 species
CCUACGGGUGGCUGCAGUAGGGAAUAUUGGGCAAUGGACGAGAGUCUGACCCAGCCAUGCCGCGUGCAGGAUGACGGCCUUCUGGGUUGUAAACUGCUUUUAUCUGGGAAGAAAAGGCCCAUGCGUGGGACAUUGCCGGUACCAGAUGAAUAAGCACCGGCUAACUCCGUGCCAGCAGCCGCGGUAAUACGGAGGGUGCAAGCGUUGUCCGGAUUUAUUGGGUUUAAAGGGUGCGUAGGCGGCCUUUUAAGUCAGCGGNGAAAGACCCCGGCUCA